GACGAACGCUGGCGGCGUGCUUAACACAUGCAAGUCGAACGGUUCUGCGCCUUCUUUUUUGGGGUGUGUGAGUGGGGAACGAGCGGGUAACUAGCGCGUGAGUUGCCUGUCACUUCUGGCUGACCGACCGCAAGGAAGGCUGGCUAAUACCGUUUAGGCUGGGCCUCUUGGAUGAGGUGGCUAGGAAAGAUUUUGUUUCGGUGGGGGAUGGGGUCGCGCCCUAUCAGCUUGUUGGUGGGGUGAUGGCCUUCCAAGGCGGUGACGGGUAGCCGGCCUGAGAGGGUGGGCGGUCACACUGGGACUGAGACACGGCCCAGACUCCUGCGGGAGGCAGCAGUGGGGGAUAUUGCACAAUGGGCGGAAGCCUGAUGCAGCGACGCCGCGUGAGGGAUGGAGGCCUUCGGGUUGUGAACCUCUUUCGCCAGUGAAGCAGGUCCGGCUCGUUUGUGGGUGGUUUGACGUAACCGGGUUAAGAAGCGCCGGCUAACUACGUG
rnacentral:rRNA from 1 species